rnacentral:rRNA from 1 species
UACGGGGGGGGCAAGCGUUGUUCGGAAUUACUGGGCGUAAAGGGCUCGUAGGCGGCCAACUAAGUCAUACGUGAAAUCCCUCGGCUUAACCGGGGAACUGCGUCUGAUACUGGAUGGCUAGAGGUUGGGAGAGGGAUGCGGAAUUCCAGGUGUAGCGGUGAAAUGCGUAGAUAUCUGGAGGAACACCGGUGGCGAAGGCGACAUCCUGGACCGGUAUUGACGCUGAGGCGCGAAAGCCAGGGGAGCAAACGGG